rnacentral:rRNA from 1 species
AUUGAACGCUGGCGGCAGGCUUAACACAUGCAAGUCGAGCGAUCGGCGGACGGGUGAGUAAUGUCUGGGAAACUGCCUGAUGGAGGGGGAUCACUACUGGAAACGGUAGCUAAUACCGCAUACCAUCGGAUGUGCCCAGAUGGGCUUAGCUAGUAGGUGGGGUAAAGGCUCACCUAGGCCACGAUCCCUAGCGGGUCUGGGAGGAUGACAAGCCAGCCUGGAACUGAGACACGGUCCAGACUCCUACGGGAGGCAGCAGUGGGGAAUAUUGCACAAUGGACGCAAGCCUGAUGCAGCCGUGCCGCGUGUAUGAAGAAGGCCUUCGGGUUGUAAAGUACUUUCAGCGGGGAGGCGUUACCCGCAGAAGAAGCACCGGCUAACUCCGUGCCAGCAGCCGCGGUAAUAC